UGUGAAGAUGAGGGGGUGGUGUGUAAAGGGAAGUCUUAAAAGAUGUAUGUAUAACAAAUUAUAGGCCAUCUUUAUGCAAUCUCAAGGACGGAAUGGUAAUAUAUAAUUCUGUCAGAACAAGAUGUGUAAAUGAGGUUGUUCAAACUUCAAGGGUGCUCAGGCACUUUGAUAUGAGUUUUCACACUAUACCAAGUUACUUUUUAAAACACUGGAAGUAAGUUUAGCACCAAUUCUGAUCUGAACUACCACCAAGAGUGUCUGGAAUUUUGGGCUGAGAAUGAAAAAUCAGACUAGUGCAAAAGACAUUUUUAUCAUGGAACAGACCUUUUCUGCCAGGAAAGAUCCCAUCUUCUGUCUUGGAUCUAACAAAUAUAUGAUCGCAAAGGAUAGUUGGUUCAGCUUGCCUAUCCACUAGAAAGCUACCACACUAAAAAUAGUAGUAGUGACAGAUCAGAGAGCUGAUCUAACUUGCUGUACAAUUGCACAGUGGUUUGAUCUUGUAUCCAGAGAAACCUCCCUGGGCCUGAAUUGGUGCAGAGGAAGCUUCCCUUCUAGCGACACCCUUGUAGUUGGACCAGCUUAAAUAUGAAAAGAAGCAGCAUGCUUGAGGAUAAGGUUUGAUUUGCAGGACAAGCCUACCUUCCUAAACAGAAGAGCUGUGGCUCUAAACUCAGUUUUUGUCAGAUUAAGAUAUAAAUGUAUUUUCAACUCCAAAUAGUGGUGUCCCUUUUUAUGUAUC